AUUGGUUAUAAUUGAGUAUUGCAUCAAUCAACAUUUCAUCUAAAUGAUAAACGAAAUUGAUGGUAUUUGAUAUCUUGUAUCUUUGCAAUUUUUCCAUAUCACAUAAGUUUGAAAGGACACAUGAAUAUAUUAAUUAUUGUAUCACAAAGAGGAGUAUUCACAUGCAUAUCUAUCUAUAAAUAAGUUAGCUCUCUUGAUAUCAAGAUAUCAAGAGUAACUGCAUUGAUUAUGAUCUUGGUUUGUGUCNUUUUCUAUUCACCAUUGUUGUAGUUUGGCAUCCUUUCCCGUUAUUAUGUUUUUUUUUNUGCAAAUAUUUUUAAAAUGCGUAUAUGACCUUCUUUACAUGUCUGUCGUGUUGAGUCUUUUCAUUUGUAGUUUGAGUCUUUUCUUUUUCUUUUUAGUCUAAGUGUGGGGUGUGAUAACUCUCCAAAUUUGCUUAAUUUUCUAUGUUAAAACUCGUUUGUUAGGUAUCUUUAGUUUUUAAUUCUUUAGAAAUAGAAUAGUUUAGUGUAAAAGUUUAGAAAACAAAAUAAAAAUAGUUUCUAGAACAGGUUAUUUUCUUUAAAUUUGAUUUUAACCCUACUUUAAAUUCUUUUUUUUUUCUUUUUUUGCAGAUUGGGCUGUUUUGGGGCUGAAGUGCACAAUUGGGCUGAUUUCACGAUUGGACCUUGAUCUUUUUAGGGUGCUUGAAUCUGAAAGUUGAGGGAAGUGUCCAAAAUCAACAGCAAG